UGUCCAGGGAUGGGAAUCGAACCCACAGUGUUCCGCUACCUCUCUCUUCUCUCCCUCUCUCUUUGAGAUGUAAUAUUGUCUAGAAGACAAUAAAUAAUUUUUAAUUGUCAAUUGUCACAAUGUUCCGCUUACCGGGCAGAUGUCAUGUCUACUAGGCUACCUUGGAC